rnacentral:rRNA from 1 species
GCGAAGUGCGGGAGGCGGGCGGGGGUAUGUCGUGGGGGGCAGGUGUGGGCCGGAUUGAGUGGGCGUGAGGCGCGCGUCGGCGGCCAGGGGGGUGUGCUGUGAAAACUCGGGGCUCAACCACGAGCGGUCGGCGGAAACCCCCUGGCUAGAGUCCGGAAGAGGAGAGUGGAAUUCCCGGUGUAGCGGUGAAAUGCGCAGAUAUCGGGAGGAACACCCGUGGCGAAGGCGGCUCUCUGGGACGGUACUGACGCUGAGACGCGAAAGCGUGGGGAGCGAACAGGAUUAGAUACCCGUGUAGUC